rnacentral:tRNA from 1 species
GGGAGUUUAGCUCAGCUGGUUCAGAGCACUUGCCUUACAAGCAAGGGGUCACUGGUUCGAAUCCAGUAACUCCCACCA